AAAAAAAAAAAGAUAAAGGAGAAGAAAGUACAACAAGAUAAAGAAAGAACAAAAAUAAAACGAAGGAGAAGGAAGGACGGAAGGAAGGACAAAAAGACGAAGGAAAGAAGAAAGGACACAAACCAAUUCUCAACACCCACCACCACCACUAAAAUUUCCGCACCCUCAGUCACUGACCAACAGUUGUGAGACGUACUGCUCAUAGUUGCUGUCCAUUAUUAGCGUGGUACAUAGACUGUGGCCGCUGAGACUUGCAGAAAUGGGGAAGUGGGCCAGAUAUUCUAAGUGGUUCCAGUGUAGUUGGUUGAAAGAACCACAGUUUGGAAAGUGGCUUGUAGAAGUGAAACAUGAUGAUAAAAAAGCUUACUGUAAAGUGUGCAAAGCCGAACUCAGGGCACAUAAAAGUUAUCUGAAAAAACACAGUGAAACAGAAGCACAUUCAAAACAUGAAGAAAAUUCCUAGUGCUAAGCAAAUGAGUGUGAAAAGUCUCUUUCAGAAAGUUGACACAAAUAAGAAAUCUGAGAUUAAAUUGUCAGUUUACGUUGCUUGCCACUCUUCCAUUCAGUCAGUUGACCAUUUAAGUGAGUUAUGGAAUGAUCUGCCGUGUACUUCAAGUACUGAAAAGUUGCGGUUGCACAGAACAAAAUGUAGUGCACUUAUCAAAAAAGUAAUUUCACCAGCUUUACUUGCAGAGCAAGUUAGUGAUCUGAAAAAUUCUCCAUUUUCACUUAUAUUGGAUGAGUCUACUGAUAUCGCAUGCGCAAAACAUUUGUGCGUAUGUGUCAGGUACUACAAUGUAAGGCUUAACAAAGUUGUGUCGCAAUUCCUAGGGCUUAUACCAGUCACAAGUGCAACAGCUGAAGCAAUAUAUCAGCAUGUGAAAGACUACUUUAAUGAAAUUGGAGUCAAUUUAAAUCACUGCUUUGCCAUAGGGACUGAUGGAGCUUCCAGCUUGUGUGGACAACACCACUCAUUCUACACACUUUUGAAAAAGGAUAUUCCAGAUUUAGUGUUAGUGAAGUGUGUCUGCCAUUCUCUGCAUCUGGUAUGCAGCCAUGCUUCAGAGAAAAUGCCAUCAAAUAUAGAUUAUAUGCUAAGAGAAACAUACAACUGGUUUCAUAGAUCAGCAAUCAGACGUGAAGCAUACCUUGACAUAUACAAACUGCUUAAUGAUGGUAAUGAGCCCCUACAGUUAGUACCUCUUUCUGGGACUAGAUGGCUAGCCAGAAGCAACAGUGUGAAAAGAGUUCUGGAUCAGUGGGAUGUUUUGAAGACACAUUUUGAAAUAGCUUCUUCAUCUUGUGGUAAAUAUCUAGCAAGGGAACUUCAUUCAAUGUAUGCUGAUCAUUCAAAUGAGUUGUAUUUCACUUUCUUGAAACCUGUUCUAAGUCAGUUUGAAAAGAUCAACCUUCUCUUUCAAAAAGAAGCAGCAGACCUUUGCAGUCUCUUGAAUGAAUUGGAAAAUCUAACAUUUUCAGUGCUCAGAAGAAUAAUUUAUCCAACGAGUGUAAAACUUGAUGUGGAUAUGAAUUUUAAGUCCAUUUUUCUUCCACUUGAAAAAGUAGACUUUGGGUACGAGUUUACUGUGCUUUUGGAAAACAAGAGGAAGAUGAACUUGAUUUCAGAGGAAAACAAGCAUGCCAUACAAGCUAGAUGUCACGCGUUUCUCGUAAAAGCAUCUGAAGAACUUCUUGCUCGUGUCCCACGUAACAUUGCAACCUUGAAACAGAUAAAAAAUCUAUCACCAGCAAUAUGUUUGAGCCACACAAGACCUCCAUUUUCUGAGCUUCCAUUAUCUCUGGCUGAACAAGCAAAACUCCCUGAGAUUGAAAACCAGUGGCGAACAGCCUUACAUACUGAUUGGCAUCAAAUAAUUGAAGGUGACAUACCUCAGGAUGGUUCAGUGUUCUGGUCCAAAUCUGCUACAUUAAAAAAUGCAGGUGGAGAACUCAUUAUGAAAGACCUGGCAGAAUUUGCUCUGAAAGUGUAUAGCCUUCCUAUUAGUAAUGCCUUAGUAGAGCGCGUAUUUUCAAAAGUAACUGCAGUUAAAACUAAAGUGAGAAAUCGUAUGGGUUUAGGACUCUUAACUUCUAUUCUACGAAUCAAAACCUCCCUGAAAGAAAAAGGCAUGUGCUGCAAUACAUUUGAGCCUCCAGUGUCCAUGCUGCAUUAUGAUUCAUCUAUAUAUAAGGAUGAAAAAAUAGAGGAGGACGAGGAAAACCUGCUACAAUCAUUGCAGCUGAUCUAAGAAAAUCUCUGGCCUCCUGCUUUUGCAGGAGGGUUGGGAACGAGCCCCUCCAGUGGUGUGCUGUUAACUUCACGUCCUGGGUAUCCAUCCCCCUGAUGUGAGGGACGGAGGACGCGAAGACGUUCCACAGUCUGGAGACUCGCCCCCAAAAGGUGGGCCGGUGUUGGCUGGAGCGGGAACGCGGCACUUCCACCGAGUCACCACCGGAUGACACCGUUCUCGUGUCCCGCGAGGUGACUCUGGCGGACAGCCGUAGUCCCGCCAGGCGUGGCACACCCUGCACCUGUGCCUUGUGGAACACCACAAGGGCCGCCAGGUCCCUGCGGUGUUCUAUCGUGUCGACGGGAGCCUCAGGAUGGGCUGGGGGCACCUGCUGCUUCCACCAGUCGCAGCGCCCGUCGCUGGAUGCCGUGGAGCUUGCUGAUGUGUGUGGCAGCACAGGACAUCCAGGAGAGGGCGGAAUACUCUAAAUAAGGCCGUAUCUGGGCCUUGUAGAGCAACAGCCUCCCUCUCAUGUCCAGCAAGUUGGCCACCCUCCUCUCUCUUUCUCUCUCUCAUUUUUAUAGUGAUAAUAAUACAAGUUACCUUUUUCAUUUUCUUUAUUUCACUCAUUUUUUUUUGUAACAAGACUAAAAAAUAUACUCAAUUUGAUAAUAAUAAUAAUAAUAAUAAUAAUAAUAAUUCUGUAAACUAUUACAUAUAUUUUCUAUUAAUUUCUAUAUAUUCUAUUUUCUUAACAGGCACUUCCUCCCACACACAAGGUCACUCUUAUCCAACUCACACAGCCUCCCCCUGACCCCCUCACACCCUUCAACACCCCCUCACACCCCGUCAACACCUCCUGACACCCUCACACCAGGCCGAACCCUUCACUCUGCUGUACGGCCUGUAGAAGUUUGUAUUUCAGCUUCUCUUUGGUGUUGUAUUUUGGCAGGUCGAGUUGGGUGAUGCAGGUGUGUGCGACGGGAAGGAAGCUGUCGUCUGCUGUGCUUUGGAUCAUCAACUUGAGUGCCUGAGAGAGAGAGAGAGAGAGAGUUUAUAAGAGAAAAAGAAAGAGAGGGAGAAAAUAUUGGUGUGUGUGUGUGUGUGUGUGAGAGAAAAUACAAUAAAUUACUAUUAAAUUUAUUAUUAUUAUUAUUAUUAUUAUUAUUAUUAUUAUAAAUUUAUUCAUAUUUCAGAGGAAUGACUGAGAAGAAAGGAAGGAAGGAAGAGGAGGAAGGAAGGAAGGAAGGAAGGAAGGAAGGAAGGAAGGAAGAAAAGAGGACAAGAAGGAAGAGAAAAGGAGGACACUCUCUCUCUCUCUCUCUCUCUCUCUCUCUCUCUCUCUCUCUCUCUCUCACAGACCCACAGGAUGUCCCCCCACAGGAUGUUGACAAACCCCACAGUCACUCCCCUCAGCCCCUCUCUCUCUCUCUCUGUCUCUCACCUACCUUCAUUCAUGCCCAGAAUAGGAACCCUGUCAGUGCCCGUCAGGAACUUCAAAAACCACUUCUUCUGCUCCAGGGAGAGUUUGAAAUACUUCCCAGAACGUGCGUAUGACCGGGUGGUCUGGGAAACAUUCGCCCUGGAAACACCGACAGAAAUCAAUAAACGGAAGGAUAUUAGUGUGAA